AGACUGUGGAAUACUUGAAAUCGCAGAUAUGGGGGGCCCACUAUAAUGUUUUGGUUAUUUCUGUUCUUGCCUAAAGAAAAUAUGACCCCAAAGCCUGAAGCUGGAAUGAAAUGUUAUAAGGGUGAAGAUCUGGACCUGAUCAAAUUUUGAUACUUCUUCAAUGUUGGUGCAAUCCGUACGUAUCACAUAGUGAUACUAAACAGAAUGAUAAGAUGAUUAGAAACUUACCCUUAUGAAAAGGAUUUUUCCAUCUCUCAUUCUGCCUCUUCAGAAAAAAAACAUAUAUCCUCUAAUAUCCUUCAAAUGUGACCAUCAUUCACCUCUUACAUUGUUGCCUGUCAAGAAGACUAACCAGUACUUUCAUAGAGAAGGCAGAUCCAAGGACCCUCAGAAACCUCUGACCUUCUGUACUUGGGCAGUAUAAAAUAGUGACCAAAAUAUCCUCUAGACAUAAGCCAGCACUAUAUGUAUGAAAACUAUCCAUCAAACUAAACCACAGAGCAGGUGUGCGCGGGGGGGGGAAAGCAAAAAAAAUAAAUAAAAAGCCAUCUUGCUAC